rnacentral:rRNA from 1 species
AGUGAGGAAUAUUGGACAAUGGGCGCAAGCCUGAUCCAGCCAUGCCGCGUGCAGGAAGAAGCAUCUAUGGUGUGUAAACUGCUUUUGUACGGGAAGAAACACUCCUACGUGUAGGAGCUUGACGGUACCGUAAGAAUAAGGAUCGGCUAACUCCGUGCCAGCAGCCGCGGUAAUACGGAGGAUCCAAGCGUUAUCCGGAAUCACUGGGUUUAAAGGGUCCGUAGGCGGUUUAAUAAGUCAGUGGUGAAAGCCCAUCGCUCAACGAUGGAACGGCCAUUGAUACUGUUAGACUUGAAUUACAAGGAAGUAACUAGAAUAUGUAGUGUAGCGGUGAAAUGCUUAGAUAUUACAUGGAAUACCAAUUGCGAAGGCAGGUUACUACUUGUGGAUUGACGCUGAUGGACGAAAGCGUGGGGAGCGAACAGGAUUAGAUACCCUGGUAGUCCACGCCGUAAACGAUGGAUACUAGCUGUUGGGCGCAAGUUCAGUGGCUAAGCGAAAGUGAUAAGUAUCCCACCUGGGGAGUACGUUCGCAAGAAUG